UUUUGCAACAUUUAUCUGAACUUUUCCAAUAAAUAUAUCUAUUACAACGAAUCCUGAAAAAGAAUUCAAUUGGCACGGUUAUUAAUUCCCUCCUAAUUUCUCCUCUCAAUUUUCAUCAAACCCGCCAAAACCUCUCUUCUUUUACAUUCUAUUUUUUUUUUGUUUACCUAUUAAUAGUUUUUAUGUGAUAGCAAUUAAUUAACUUUUAACCAAUAAGUUAGGCAAAAUAAACAAAUUCAUUUCUAACCUUCCAUUAUCUCUAGCAAACAUAAACUCAAAGAAUACCCAGAUCCUAUGAGGCAAAAUAAGGAUUCUUUAUGGAAUUAAACCUCAACCCAUUACCAAAUGCGAUAAAUCAAAGAUGAGAAUCAAUUUGGCGUUCAUACUAUUUGGGCGCGAUUGAGAUUUCUAUAAUUUUUCUACUAGGGUUUUGAUUUGUUCGUUCGUACUACUUGAAAGAAGGAAGAGAAAGACGAGAGAUUGACGCUAAGAAAUAGCAAAAAAGGGACACUCAACCAAUGUUUCUUCCAUCUCUCGAUCUCGUUCCUCGCUGAAAAUUGUCGGCGGUAGAUAUGGGAGAUACCAUCGCGGUAAGUUUUUUUAACUUUUUUUUUAUAAAUUUGGGAUAAACCAGAAAAUUCUCUAGCAAAGUUUUUUUUUUCUUUAAAGGCAUCCAAUGUUAUCCCUCAAACACUGUAACAUAAUGUUCUUUGCCCAAUUUCAUUCUCUUGGUAUACAUUAGUUUUCUUCGCUAUUGUGGGUCAAAAUAGUCGAGAUUUCUUAAUUUUUUUAUUGUGGGUUAGAUUCAAGGUAAGUCCAACUCAUUAUUUCUUUUUUAUUCUAGUAUUUAAAAGUUUCUCAACUAAGUAGGUGAAAGUAUCUCUAGGUUAAUAUUAUAUUUUGAGGGUGUAAUUAUGUGGGUAAAGAGGUUUUUAACUAUACUUUGUUACAUGGUCGAUUUUGAUGUUGCAAUAGGUGAGUUGUUGUUGGGUUUAUAAUUGAUCUUAAUCGAGUAUGUCAUGUAUCUCCAAUAUUCGAUAGAUUGCCAGCCUAAUAGUAGCAAGUAGGUUUGUCACAUGACUCGUUUUGUUGCAAGAUUUAGUCACCAUUAAUGUCCCUAAAUAAUAUUGUCGCGCUUAGGAUAUAUUUCGUUUAGUCCAUUGUGUGGGGUGCAUUCUUCUGAGGGGGGAGAUGCUUUAAGACUUGUGGUGUCUGUCGUUUCAUUAUGUGCCCUAUUUAGUUAGUAAAACUGUAUGGGGAUAAGGGGAGUACCUUAUAUUAUGACAGGAGUUGAAGCUACGCAGCCUUAUAUUAUGACAGGAGUUGAAGCUACGCAGUGGUUGUAUUGGCAUUAUUGUUGAUGGACCUUGAGGCAUCAGAUAUUUACAUUUAUAAUUCCUUUCAAUAUUAUAACUUACUAUUCAUGUUGUCUCCAAAAUAUAGUACAUGAUGAGUUGAACUGAAUUUAGUUGCAUAUUCUCUGUGGCAAUUUGCAGAUUGCUGGUGCAGUAGUGGUAGCAAGAUAUCGCUGAGAAACUCUUGUGCCCUUAGACUCAGGGGAAGUGAACUUGGUGAUAAAUUUUCAGUGUUUAAAAUUCACGUUACAUCAUCUUGUUAUUCUAGUGCAGUUGUGUUGCUUGUUUCGAAACUGGAUCUACAUUUCUAAGGAUCCAUGUCAUGUAUAGUUUUAACUUGAAAAGAACAUUUUUUGAGUAGUUUUCUUGACAUUUGCUCCUGCAUUAGGUGAUUCUUUUUUAACUUAUAGGACAUAAAGUUAUUAUAAGAUCAUUCAGUUAUAUUUCAUUAAAAAAUCAUGUUAUAGUCAAUAAGAAAAGAUUCAAAGAGCUAAACUUUGAUAGAAAUAUGUUCUUUACCAGCUGAAGUGCCAUAAAAGAAUUUACCACACACAUCCCCAUAUCUCUCUUGAUUUUAAAUGGUCCCAAGAUAGGAAAUUAAGUUUGCAGGCAGACAUUAACUUAUCUUGACAAUUAAUUUAUCCUUUCUAAGGUUUCUUUCAUCAGAACUAUACUUUUUGUGCAAACUAUCUGAGGGUAAAAAUUAAAAUAACUGUAAAUUUGUGCAAUAUUUGAAAAUGUUAAUUGGCCUAAAUAUUUUCAAUCUAUAAAUUUGCUCGUCUUACUAUUAACAUAACCGAGGUGCUUAAUUUAUUGUACCCCAUACAUUUGAAGCUAUUAGGAGCUUAUAAAUUAGUGGUUCUAGAACUUUUUGAUGCUUGCAUGUGUUGUAAUUGCUAUUUCUUUAUUUCUCAACGAGAAAUUAUACUUAAAAAGCUAUUGUUUUGUUUUCCAUUUAUAAUGUAUAUAAGAUGAUUUAUUUUUUGCAUCUUAGUGUUUAAUUUGUUAUUUUCUUUUCUAUAAUUUAAUAUUGAUGAUUAUCUCACCAGAAUUUACAUUUAAUUAGUAAAAUAUAGUUAACCAUAUUUUUGAACUUUUUUGUCCGCAACUGUAUGUUUUUUAUUGCAUUUAAUUUGUGGCCAGGAAGUUAUUGGUUAUAUCACCAGAGCUGGUAUGUAUGGGAAAUCUAAAGUAGAAUUCAUAGAGUUCAGCUAGUAUUACAUCGUGUGUCCAGUGGUCGAUUGUAACUUAUGUAGCCUUAAGAUAUUUACUUCAUUUGCAGCGAUUGUCACAGAUGGACGUGUUCACACUUAUGAUUAGUAACUAGUUAGAUAACUAUUUAUCACACUGUUUUCAAUAGAAAAUAGUUUUAUCUUUAAUUAAUUAUUUAGCCUUUCAUUGUUAAAGUCUGAACUUUGAUACUCAACAUGUUCCUUGUGAAUUUAAGUUUGAAACUCUUAAGUAUUUCUAAAGUUAGGAGUAAAGCAUAUGGAUGUGGCCUAUGUAUACCUACUACUCUGGUUGUGUAGGGCUACGUUGUUGUUGUAUGUUGAUUCGGAUAUAGUGACUUUCACUUGUGAUUGUAAUAUCAUUUAUUUUGUAUUCUCGUACACAUGAUUUGUCCCUCAAAAGAUUAAAAUUAGUUUAUUCUCAAGUGUGUAAAACGAACAUGCUAAAAAUUAAAUACAUGAAUCAAAUACUGUUUGUAGUUCGCUUCUUUAGGAAGAGUUGAUGUUAUGUUGGAAUGACUUUAUGUGCUUUUAAAUUGAUAUCUCAAUUUUUUCUCUUCUUACAGGUGGAUAUGUACAGAAGAAACAUAAAUGAGGAGAAAUUUGACCGAGGCUAAUUUUGCUAAUAGUUAAUUGUCAUCUACCUUAGUCUUGAAUUUGAGUAAACAUUGGUCGAUAAUUGUAACUUUUUAUAUUUUUUAUUCGUUAUUUCCCUAAUAUUGCUAAUUCUAUACAAUAUUUAUGUCCUCUCUCAAGAUGAUAUGUAGAUCUAUUAAAUUUGGCUUGUAUAUUUCCUGUCUGAAACAUGAGUUUAGGCUUGUGAUCAGAAAUAAUGAAAAGCCAAUGCCUACUGGAAUUAGUUUUAGAUGUUUAUCCAUCACUUGUUCUUCCAAAUGGCCUCAUUUUGCUUAUUGUACGGAGUUCUAGAUCUGUUCAUUAACCAAAUAAUUGUAGAACCA
rnacentral:lncRNA from 1 species